AUGACAUUGUUAGGAUCCCUCGGCCAAGAAGGGAAAAGGAUGGUGGCAGCUGAGAAUAUAUUCAGUCCCAGUGGAAAAAACAGCAACAACAAAAUCCACCACAACAACACAACAGAGGAACCAAAGUGGAAAGGGGAGUUCCAGGAACGAUCUUAUGAGACCCUUUAUAACUCUGAGAUACAGGAAGAGAGGAGAACAGAACUAGUGCAAGACUGCUGGUCCCAGAACGCUGAUGGCCAGGUGCCUAAGACCAAUCAGAAAACCCUUACUGCAGUCAAAAGUGGGGUCAGAGGUGCAAUUAACUCAGAAACUGCUGUAAUUUGUAUUUCAUUAUUAUUUUUAAAUCAAUACAGAUAGUCUUGCUAGACACAGUCAAUUGCUGUUUUAAUAAGAGAAAAUUAGUAAUGAAAAAAUAUGCAGUAUGUGUAAUGAAUAUCUAUGCUAUAAAAAACUUUUCACAUUUUUUUUCUCAUGAAACCUUAGCCUUACCUGAUUUACACACAAAAACACAUAGAUAUCCCACAGAAAGUAACUGAUGUGUGUACUGAUUAGUAUGGUUUAAUUGUAACAAGAUAUUCCUAGCGUGCAUGAACAUCUGGAGCAGAAAAAGAGUUUGUACUGAGAAGAGCAAUUAAUAAAAGACCCCAGAAGAGUCA
rnacentral:lncRNA from 1 species